UGGGAACACCCCUUGAUAGGGGUGUUUAUACCCAAUGCCGUCCUGUGUCUAGUUGCACGAUUAAAGGAGGCCUCUGAUUCAAGCUUUCGCUCGAGGAGGGGUCUAUGUCCUAUUAGCUAGUUGGUGAGGUAACAGCCUACCAAGGCUGUGAUGGGUAGCCGACCUGAGAGGGUGACCGGCCACACUGGGACUGAGACACUGCCCAGACUCCUACGGGAGGCUGCAGUCGAGAAUCUUCCGCAAUGCGCGAAAGCGUGACGGAGCGACGCCGCGUGGGCGAUGAAGGCCUUCGGGUUGUAAAGCCCUGUUGCCUGUUUUGAAUGACGGGCGGUAAACAGCCGUCCCGUCUGACGUAAGCAGCAGAGGAAGCACCGGCUAACUACGUGCCAGCAGCCGCGGUAAUACGUAGGGUGCAAACGUUGUUCGGAAUCACUGGGCAUAAAGGGCGCGUAGGCGGUCUGGUAAGUCAGGGUGAAAUCCCUCGGCCCAACCGAGGAAUUGCAUUUGAUACUGCCGUGCUUGAGUACAGGAGGGGAGACGCGGAAUUCCUGGUGUAGCGGUGAAAUGCGUUGAUAUCAGGAGGAACACCGGUGGCGAAAGCGACUCUCUGGCCUGCUACUGACGCUGAGGCGCGAAAGCUAGGAGCAAACGGGAUUAGAUACCCCGG
rnacentral:rRNA from 1 species